rnacentral:lncRNA from 1 species
UAGCUCUCUUCCUCCGCUGCUUCCUUCCUGUCUUUACGGGAUCCAAGUUCCGGGUUUUUAAUUCACUUUUUGGCAAUCGAAUUGUGGGACAGUUUUCAUGCCGUUCAUUUCAUUUCGUUUCGUUUCGUUUCUGGCUUUAAUUACGACCGGCAUUUGCCUUUGAAGUAUGUAUUUUGGCAGUGGCAGUGCUUUAAUUUUAAUCCACUUGCCGCUUAAAAGCUACCAAAAGCGAGUGAAAUUUUUACGAGCUCCGCUGGAAGCGCCUUAUGAAAAUUUAAUAAGCACCGAACGGGGCAGAAGUAUGUGUAUGUGUGUGAGUGGUAAGGGAAAG